AACAUAUUUUGUCUAAUGGUUUGACUAUCCUUACCCUCUGGCCCAUGUGGUGCAUUCACUCCAAUACUCUGAGAGCACAUCCAUUGGAGUGGUCCUACUAGCUAGCACGGUGCACUGGACACAAUGGACCAACACUCUAACUCAGGGGAAAGGUAUUGGAAAGCCUAUCAUUAAUUUGCACAGCUUACUGCUACUGAAUCUCAACAAGCUGAAUGGCUACAAACUCUCCUACAAUUCUGUGUACUUUGACCCCUGUGUUUGCUAUCCCCUCGGUACAGGGACACCUCAACGAAUUGUGUGACUCUGGUGUCACUCCAGUGUCUAGUACCGUUUCAGCUCAGGUGACAACUACCUAUACUGUAUAAUCAUGAUCAGGUGAUAAUGCCUCUCAAUGUGUUGCCCCCCCCCCCACGGGAGGUACGGGGAAUUUGACUCUAAUUUGACUCUUGAAGUGUUGUCUUCACACUGACUGGGGGAUUAGACCUGGCCUUGCAUAUAGCCUUACCUGGGUGGCUUUGCUGCAUGUCGUCUUUGUGGUCAGAUCUACAAGAUGAUGCCCGAAUCGCUUACUAUCUCAAAAAUUUGGCUGUGAUCUGCUUCUGUCAAGUGGUACUGUAUGUACUAGGUGUGGCUUAUAUACAAAUGUGAUUUCGUGUGUGACUGUGAACGAAGAAACACUUGCAGUGGCCCAGCUCUACCAAGCUUCCUAAGCUAGUAUUGCUGGAUCACAGAUGCGUGUGAUUCUCAGGUGGUGGAGCAGUCAACCAAACGUACGUGUCACAAGGUGAGUGAUAGGCUGUGUAUUAUUAAUCUACCGAGCGAUGCAGUACGUAUAUAUGUACGCGUAGCUUUGUUGCUUUAAAUAAUUAUAAUGAUUAGUGUGUAUCAUUAGCGUACAUCAUGUGACUAUAAUGAAGCCGUACUAAUAAAUAAUAAUUAUCAUAAACAGUAAAUAAGAUAAUAAUUAUAAUAUUUACAAGUUCUUAUGCCACAAAUAGAAACAGUCUGAUGUUGGGUUUCCACCAUGGCAGAGCCAGACACCACACUCGUUACAUCUGUCAGUCCUCUUGUUGGAGUCCUUCCAGCAGAACGCACACCAUCCCCGUUUACAUCUCUUUGCAGGUGGUUGCAGGCACAUUUUAAGAGGAAAGUGUUGGAGCUAAAGAGGGCGCUGGACUCUACUUGAGCGGCCUGGGAGUCUCCUUGAAUAGCACGUGCCAAUCAGCUCCUUGGCCAGUUGGAGGCGGAAGUCUUUUACGUUUUGAUUCGGCUUGGAGGCAUUCUUAAACCGUCUCUCUGUCGCCUGAGAACGGAUCCCGUUGCUACUGGUUGCGACGUCGUUGAGAGGACUGUGAGCACCUUGCUGUCGUGCCAUGCACACGCCACCAGUGGUCCCUUCUGGAAUAUCUUGGAUUCUCCUCUGUCAAAGUACCUCUUCUUCAAACCAUGUUUCUUCAGCCCUGGUGGUAAACCUACACCACACCCAUCCUUCUCCAUAUCUUCAAGAAGUUUGGGGCUCGUAAAAAAGUUGUCAAAGAAAACGUGGUGAUUUUUCUUCUUCAGCCCGUCGGUGCUCAAUGAGGGGGCGGAUCUUCCCUAACCGAUCGUACGAGGGAUCACCUUGUGGAACAAGAUGGUCGUUGUCCACAAAGUGCAGAUACCGGGAGAUAUCACGGAAUCUCUGCCUUGAGAUUACAUCGGCGAUGGGUGCAUAGUGCAUGGUAGUGAUGGUCUCGGCUCCAAUAGUCAUUGAUUGAUGGCAGGUGAUUGAGUCCCAUGAGGAUGGAGAAUCCAAAGAAGGCCCGGAGCUCUUCAACUACCAUUGUUAAAAAAUAGCAGUUACACUUCUUCUGGCGUCUCUGAGAUGUCCACUGUUGGUCCUACUGCUGACUCAAAUGACUUGAUAGUGAGGGUGUGCAAUUCACUCCUCCAGGAUUGCUGUCUGUUGACGGGGGAUCCAUUUCUACAUGUUCCUCAUCAUUCAAGAUGUCUUGUAGAACCUCCUCCGUGGUCCAGUGUGGCCUCUUGGCCAUGCCUGCAGCUCUAUAUUAUUAUUAAAAAAUGUUCGUUCAUGUUAUAAAUAUUUUGUGUUUGUUGGGUGGUAUAAAAACAACAGUAGUAUUCAAGCGUCUGUAUCAAAAAAAAAUUCUGUAUGAUAAUUAUAAGCUUUUUACUUUAUAUAAUGAG